UACAGAGGUCUCAAGCGUUGUUCGGAUUCAUUGGGCGUAAAGGGUGCGUAGGCGGCUUGUCGCGUCGACUGUGAAAACCCACGGCUUAACUGUGGGCUUGCAGUCGAUACGGGCAGGCUAGAGUUCGGUAGGGGAGACUGGAAUUCCUGGUGUAGCGGUGAAAUGCGCAGAUAUCAGGAGGAACACCGGUGGCGAAGGCGGGUCUCUGGGCCGAUACUGACGCUGAGGAGCGAAAGCGUGGGGAGCGAACAGG
rnacentral:rRNA from 1 species